UAUAAAUAGCAACCCUCGUACGAGGUACACAUUAAAUGGUAUUUCCUUAUGGCACUACAAAAAGGCCAGGUGCAGUUUGGAAACCGCUUACCUACAUUCGCAGGUAGUUCGUUAGGAGGAUUACAUACAUCCCUUGCGAAAUUGUUCAUUGUAUAGUUUCCUAGUCCCAAAAACCCACCACCGAAUUGGCUCAGUGUAUGGUGGCAACCGUCCAAAUGUUUGUGAGAGUUGAACCAAACACAAGGUUUUUGAACCUUUGGCUGUUCGCGGAGCAGGAAAGCCAGCUGUUGCAAAACGCACGCGCAUCCUGUGCUGAACCGACUGAAUCGGGGUGGGCUGGGCACGGGAUCGAGUACGGGCUCGGAUUCGGGUUUGAGUUGGCGCAUAUCCUUGAGCAACAGCAUUGGAGUAUGCAAAGCGAUGGAAAGGACAAAAGUUUUGAUUAUUGUUUGGCUGGACACAGAUUUAAUUGCCAUCCCCGCUUAGGCCCUCCCCAAACACCCUCAGUUGGCGAGCAGAACCUGAAUUUCCGCAGAGCGGAAAGUGCUCUAUUCUGCUCUGAAGGAAGCGCAGCAAUAAAACUUUGUUGCAUUGGCAGGAAGGCUUGGCAGAAGCACAAACGGCAAAGUGUAACGAAAAGGCGAAAGCCUGAUGGCAGCAAUUGGCAGUAACAACAGCCACCGUAACAAAAGGAACAGCAGCAUAAUGGAGGCUACACGGAAAUUGCGUAUACGCCGUGUGCCCGCGCGUGUGUGUCUGCGCUGAGAGACAUGAACAGAGCAAUUGGGGGAGACCUCUUGUUGCUCUCUGUUUUGUUUCCUGUGCCUGAGCACAGCGACACGCAAUACAAUAGCCAAAAGCGGGGAGGAAAAGUAAAAUGGCAUAAUAAACGUAUUUAUGAAAAAGCA